CACGUAGGCACCAAGCGUUGUCCGGAUUUAUUGGGCGUAAAGAGCUCGUAGGCGGUUCAGUAAGUCGGGUGUGAAAACUUUGGGCUUAACCCAAAGCGUGCAUCCGAUACUGCUGUGACUUGAGUUCGGUAGGGGAGUGGGGAAUUCCUAGUGUAGCGGUGAAAUGCGCAGAUAUCUGGAGGAAUACCGGUGGCGAAGGCGGCAUCCUGGACCGACAUUGACGCUGAGGAGCGAAAGCCAGGGGAGCAAACGGG
rnacentral:rRNA from 1 species